AUGGAUCUGAGCAGAAUUUGGAUCUACAUCACUGUAUCAAUCCUGAUUCAAUAUUCAUACAGUCAGACAUUAACUGAGUCUGAAUCAGCGGUGAUCAGACCUGGUGGAUCUCAUAAACUGACCUGUACAGCAUCUGGGUUUAGCUUUAGUGGCUACUGGAUGGCUUGGAUCAGACAGGCGCCUGGAAAAGGGCUGGAAUUUGUUGCAACUAUCGAGGGUGAUAGUGAUAGGAAGUUUUAUUCCAGUGCAGUUACUGGUCGGUUCACCAUCUCCAGAGACAACAGUAAGAACCAGGUGUAUCUGGACAUGAACAACAUGAAGACUGAAGAUACCGCGGUGUAUUACUGCGCUAGACACUCACAGCGAUGUGACCCUGACCAUGACGACAAAACUAAGUGA